GUUGUUGUCAACCAAGAUCAUGGAUGGCAUACCAGCUGAUUUUGGUAGUUCUUAUGGUGAAGAGUGGUUCAGGCAAGACCAGUAUGUGGUCCAUAAUACUUGCUAAUUGUAUUGCAAGGGACACAAGAAGAAUUGGUGUAACAAUGUUCUUGUGGCAUCCAAUGAUAUUGUCAGGAACCAGCCGAGAGUGGAAUGAAAAAAAAAAAGCACUAAAAUGUCAUUUGCUGGCACUGUUGCCUGAAUGGCAUCAAAAGUCAUUUGAAAUAAAAUGUGCAGUGAAAUGAAAAAGUAGACAUUUGGAAUGCAAAGCUCAAAAAUAGACCAUCAUUUAGACAAAUUCUCAUGCACCUUGAGAUUGCCUCUGCUAAAUUACUUUGGUUCAGUCGGGAGGACUUUUCUGAAUCUCAAUGAAGUCCUUAACUGAAAGACACAGAUUCUGUCAUUAUCAUCAAGAUAUUCUAAGAAAGGAUCUGAGGUGAGAACAAUUACUGACUAUGUACAAUAACAGUAGUAAGAGUAUAAUUCGUCCAAUCAUAAAAGUUCUAGAAAAACUAGAUCGACUUGGUAAAAAAACUGACACAUAGGUCAGAGUCUGAAGUCACCAUGCCUGACUCUAAAAAAAACCCAGAAGGGAGCAUGACAACCAGGUCUUAGCUGGUACCACAACCUCCUACGAAAAUGCGUGCCAGGAAGUCUCGUCAUCGUCGCAAUAACAGCAGAGGGUCUAUGAAAGACAUUACCUCUCGGCUCAAAUCUCAAGCUUCACUGGACACCCAAACAUCAGACAAACUAAACUAUAGAUGAAGCUGAUGGGCAAGAGAAUAGGUUAACAACAUUAAAAAACGUCAAGUUCAUUGUAGCAAAAACUCAUCCAUUUCUGCCGCAAGGCACUCGCCAAUCUCAAAACUUUUUCCUGUAAGUAAAAGCAGAACUCAUCCUAUGAAGACAAUAACUUUAAUGAUGUUUGCUUUGGCUAUGAUGGUGGCUGCAGUGAUGCUACUUAUAGCAGCAAAUGCUCAUCCCAGGUCAGUGCUGAUCUGGAGAACACAUGUGACCUAUGCCCAGCCCAAAACAGAACAUGGAAACUAUGAGUGAAAAUCCUCUCCGGAUAUUGACCUCUCAUCCUGACCUGAAACCUUAUUUCAAUGCUGACAUAACAAACAGAUGGUUUGGUUAUUGUUGUAUUUGAAAAACACAAAUGUCUACCAAAAUUAAGGCCCACUUUCUUCAAUUCUUUACAAAGGUAACCUGCAGCAUGUUAAAAGGAUGAAGUUUGUGAUAGGCUUCUUAAAAAGUUGGUUCCAAUAAAAAUUAAACUGAGUUAAUUCAUAAGUAUCAAUUUUAACCAGGUGUAAUAAAUUGUAUUUCAAAUGUCUAAUAAGUCCACUUGGGCAUUAUUUGUUUAUUGGGAGCUCUGUUUGAUUAGCCAGUGCACUAGGAAUUUUGUCUCUUUCAUAAAAAUUAGCAUUUUAAAAAAUGUCCUUUAAUCUU